rnacentral:rRNA from 1 species
CGUAAAGACGCAUGCAGGUGGUUUGUUUAAGUUCAGAUGUGAAAGACCCGGGGCCGUCAACCUCGGAACUAGCAUUUGUAAACUAGGCAGACUAGAGUACUGUAGAGGGGGGUAGGAAUUUCUAGGUGUAGCGGUGAAAUAGCGUAGAGAUCUGAAGGAAUACCGGUGGCGAAGGCGGCCCCCUCGGACAGAUACUGACACUCAGAUGCGAAAGCGUGGGGAGCAAACAGGAUUAGAUACCCUGGUAG